rnacentral:lncRNA from 1 species
GUGUGGGAUGACAGAGGACCAUAGAAAUCUAUUGCACGUCACCACCCUCACACUUAACUGAGCAGCCUACUCUCUACCUUAUUUAUUCACAUACCAUUGCUCAUUGGGUGGCAUGGUGUCACCCCAACAUGAAGGUUUAAAUUAAUACACACACAUACACACACACACACACACACACACACACACACACACAAACACAUACACAAACACACACACACACACACACACAAACACAAACACAUACACAAACACACACACACACACACACACACACACACACACACACACACACGUUUCCAGUUCACUGAUUUUUCUCAUGUCAUUGUUUGGUUGUUUUUUCCACGUAGAAUAACCAGAUUUGGGUUUAUCCUGUUCUCUCUUGGGAGCUGAAUGUUCUAAAAUGUUCUGUAUUCCCUGGUUGGUAAAGUGUGGGGACUUGCUGCUGAGGGCACACGUGGGCCAGGCAUCUGAAGGGAUAAAACGUGCCACUGGGUACAGCUGGCACAUGGCAGAAGCAUCACACGUAUUUUAUGUUUCUUUCUGGAAGUCACGUCCCUGAAAAGCUUCCUUGCUCAAAAAUCAUUGUCAAAGCUAAGAAGUAACCAGAAGGCAAAGGAGUGUAUCUGCUCUCUCCUGCAGCCUGGGUCUCCCGCCCCAUGACAAUGCAGGUUUUAUCUAGCAGCCAAAUGUGAUCCCUGCCUUAUCUUCAGCCUUAUCUUCAGCCAGACUGCAGACCUGUCUGUCAGCUCAGCUCCGAGCGAGAUGCAUGUCAUCAUCCCAGAUUCAGCUAGAACACUCUGUCCUACCCUUUGGGACACCAAGAUGGAGAUCUGCGCACGUGGCUCUUUCCAUCUCUGUACUUCUAUUUCAUUUUCUGGGAAGCUAAGAUAAUGAAUGCUGAACUUUGGGAGAUGACAGGUAGAUAGAGAGGCGACACAUGUGAAUCCGUAGUGUCCUUACUGAAGCAAAAGGCACCAUGUCUGUGUGAGAAACGUUCUGCUUUGUAUAUCUGAUGGAAUAAAUACCCAGCGUACCUAUGGUUGCUUAAUCCCAGACAGUCCUGGCGCCUGGUAAGACUGCGUACCAGCUCCUGUAGAGCAUAAUUCAGCAGAGUGUUAGCAGGGCCUAUCUCGUGCAGACCUCAAGACCAGCGUACUGGCUCCCCCAACCCUACUCUGGUUGAUGUCUUAGGAUUUCACCACUGUUUUUUGUCCUCCAGCGUAGCCUUGAAUCCUGCCAAGCCUCUCUCAGUUUUACUAAACAGAUGAUAAAGCCAGGAAUGAGGAAGGAGAAGCCAGGAAUGAAGAAUGAAAACAUGCCAGUGGUCAUGGCAGUGGAAGGUGAAUUAGGAAGUAUCAGGGAAUGGCAGCGGGCUGGCGAGCAGGUUGGAGGAGGAAGCAGGCUGCCCUUUGCACUUUGGAAUAGGCAAGUGCUCUGGUCUCAUCUGGGGGCUCCCACUGAGGUGGGCCUAUGACACACACAUUCCACAGAGUCUCCCAUGCUCCCCCACACAACUCUAGGAGGGUCAUUGUACUUCACAGCUAGCAAACCAAGCCACAGGAGGUUACAUUAUUGGCUCGAGGUUCUAAAAUAAUAGUCUCUGGCUAGGAAGAUGGGCUUAUAUUUAUCCCAGUAUACUUUGUAAAGAAUUGCUACAUUCUUUGAGGAACGUUGUUACCUUCUGCAGAGGCUUUUGUGAGUCUGUUCCUAAGCUCCCCGGGAGCCUACAAAAUGUCUUAAAAGUAGUCUUGAGAUUUGUACACGCCAGUUUCCUCAACUCUAAAGCAGGGUUGGAAGGCCCAAGGCUUGCUUUUCUCCUACCCAGCCCAGAGGGGUUGGGGUGGAAGCCAGGAUAUCCCUUCCACAGUGAUAAACAAGGACAGAACUUAGUCCCACCCACAAGUUCCAAGAAGUCAGUAGGAAGUAGCUGAGGAACUCCAAAGCCACAAAGGCCUUCCUUAGGGCCCAGUGGCCACGAUCAGGCUAUUAGCCAUCUCUUAGGUGUCCCAUGGGUUUCAUCUAGCCGGUACUGUCCCCAGCUGUACCUCAUUUUCCAGACCUGGAAAUGGGACUAGCAUGUGGGGCAUAUUACUUAACAUGUAACAUUCCUGCCCAAAGUGCCCUUCCCGAGAUUCAGAGCCUGGGGGCACAGUCCUGCCGGCAGGCCUCCUAUCUAUCUUGUCAGAAGGUCUGACUCCUGAAGUGACACACAGCUCUAAGAUUCUGGCCCUGUCUGCUUCAGUAGAGUAAAAAAAGGUGCUGCUUGAAGUUGGGCAGGCAGAUGUACAGCCAGGCCACAGAGAGACCUAAAUGUUUGGCUUCCUCUUUCUCUGAAGGUCUGUAGAACCGUGUCUGAGCAUGACCAAGAAGAGCUUCAGGCAAUAGGGACUGGCGCUGACUGAAAGGAACUUACAGGGGUGUGGGUGUGUGUUUCUCCUUCUGCCUAGGGUUAAGUAAUAGCAACAUCCUGUGUAAGAGAAUUUGAAUGUGGUUUUCAGCUAAACUCCAAUAUUUUAGGGCUAUUUAUUAGAUGUGUUUAAUCUCGGGCCAAUUUAGCCAGUAGCAGACUAAUAAAAUAACAAAUGUGGGCUUGCUGCCAGGACAAAUGUUGAUUUACCCUUCUAAUGUUGACUAAAAUGAAUAACUUUGAAAGUAAUUGAGGAGGG